ensembl:lncRNA
AAGAGGAUUCUGCAUUGAUGUCUUGAGGCAUCCUCUUUGUAAGCAUAUCCAUGUAUUGGAUGUCAUUAGGAAUCAUACAAAGUCUACUGUAUCGCAGGGUGAUUUAGGAAUCAUACAAAGCCUACUGUAUUGCAGGGUGGUUUAGAUACAGUCAUCAUCCAUCUUCCAACUGCUUUUUAUUUUGGGUGUUGACUGAGUGGAAGGCCAACAUUUAACCAGGACUACUGGAGCAGUAGGCCUGGUGUAACCAUGACUACAGAAACAGUUGGCCAAGUGUAACUAUGACUACAGGAGUAGUAGGCCAAGUAUAACCAUGACUACCGGAGCAGUAGGCCUAGUGUAACCAUGACUACAGGAACAGUUGGCCUAGUGUAACUAUAACUACAGGAGCAGUAGACCAAGUGUAACCAUGACUACCGGAGCAGUAGACCUAGUGUAACCAUGACUGCUGGAGCAGUAGACCCUGGUGUAACCAUGACUACAUGAGCAGUAGACCUGGUGUAACCAUGACUACAGGAGCAGUAUACCUGGUGUAACCAUGACAACUGGAGCAGUAGGCCUGGUGUAACCAUGACUACAGGAACAGUUGGCCUAGUGUAACCAUGACUACCAGAGCAGUUGGCCUAGUGUAACCAUGACUACUGGAGCAGUAAGCCUAGUGUAACCAUGACUACUGGAGCAGUAGACCUAGUGUAACCAUGACUACCGGAGCAGCAGACCUAGUGUAACCAUGACCACCGGAGCAGUAGACCUGGGGUAACCAUGACUACCGGAGCAGCAGACCUGGUGUAACCAUGACUACCGGAGCAGUAUCCCUAGUGUAACCAUGACUACCGGAGCAGUAGGCCUAGUGUAACCAUGACUACUGGAGCAGUAGGUCUAGUGUAACCAUGACUACUUGAGCAGUAGACCUAGUGUAACCAUGACUACCGGAGCAGUAUACCUAGUGUAACCAUGACUACCGGAGCAGUAGCCCUAGUGUAACCAUGACUACCGGAGCAGUAGACCUAGGGUUAGGCUAUAAAGGGGUAGCACAAUGCAACUCCAGACCUAUAGAGGGGUAACAUGGGCUGCCUGGUCUUGCUGCUUGACUGAGUUAAAUCUUCAUUAAUACCCCUGCCAACUCUCUAAACACUCAGUUGUUUUUCUGUCUGCCUCUUUUGUUGAGUCAUUAUGGAGGCUACUAGACAGAAUUCACUUUGGUCUUUACCGCAGGUGCACUCUGCCCAAAAUAUCCUCACAGACCUAUGGAGAGAGAGAAAGAGAGUGGGUCAGAGAGAGAGACAGAGUGGCGGGGGGUCAUCUAGGAUACAGGCCAAGUACAGACAAAUAUGGUAAUUAUCCUAGGAUGUAGGCCAAGUAAAGACAAAGAUGGUAAUUAUCCUAGGAUGUAGGCCAAGUAAAGAUAAAGAUGGUAAUUAUCCUAGGAUGUAGGCCAAAUAAAGACAAAGAUGGUAAUUAUCCUAGGAUGUAGGCCAAAUAAAGACAAAGAUGGUAAUUAUCCUAGGAUGUAGGCCAAAUAAAGACAAAGAUGGUAAUUAUCCUAGAAUGUAGGCCAAAUAAAGACAAAGAUGGUAAUUAUCCUAGGAUGUAGGCCAAGUAAAGACAAAGAUGGUAAUUAUCCUAGGAUGUAGGCCAAGUAAAGACAAAGAUGGUAAUUAUCCUAGGAUGUAGGCCAAGUAAAGACAAAGAUGGUAAUUAUCCUAGGAUGUAGGCCAAGUAAAGACAAAGAUGGUAAUUAUCCUAGGAUGUAGGCCAAGUAAAGACAAAGAUGGUAAUUAUCCUAGGAUGUAGGCCAAGUAAAGACAAAGAUGGUAAUUAUCCUAGGAUGUAGGCCAAGUAAAGUCAAAGAUGGUAAUUAUCCAAGGAUGUAGGCCAAGUAAAGACAAAGAUGGUAAUUAUCCUAGGAUGUAGGCCAAAUAAAGACAAAGAUGGUAAUUAUCCUAGGAUGUAGGCCAAGUAAAGACAAAGAUGGUAAUUAUCCUAGGAUCCAGGCCAAGUAAAGACAAAGAUGGUAAUUAUCCUAGGAUGUAGGACAAGUAAAGACAAAGAUGGUAAUUAUCCUAGGAUGUAGGCCAAGUAAAGACAAAGAUGGUAAUUAUCCUAGGAUCCAGGCCAAAUAAAGACCAAUAUGGUAAUUAUCCUAGGAUGUAGGCCAAAUAAAGACAUAUGGCAGUGGUUUAUAACUCUUCCAGCAUACACAGUAGAUGUUCAUUCAGCCCUCUUUCUGCAAGCUUGUUGUUAUACAAUUUUGAGACUGAAAUAUUGAUAUUUGAUUCGAGCAAAUACAGUUUGUAGAUACUGUCGGUAAGCAUCAACUUGAAUUAGAUAUAUGUUUUAAUGAAGGUCGAUGUUGAACCAUUGGUGUUAUUUAUCCAUACUCAUUUUAAUUGAUGUCUAAACCAGCUGUAGACGAAGGUGUCUAAUCAUUUGAGUCAGAUGGUGCCUACCCUCGAGUCGGUGAGUUUAAAAUAAAAUAAAAAGUAUUUGUGGUGAAUCAACAAAAAAAAAGUAAGUCUUAGUCCCUCAACACAUCUUUAUUUUACUGUCCUAAUUUAUAAUUCUAGAAAUGUGCAUACAGUCGCUGGGCGACAUUGGCAGUUUAUUUCAAUAUACAGUAUAGAGUUAUAGCCUACCCUAUGCUGCGCAUGCAGAGCGUGCGUCAGACAAUGGUCAUUUAACAUCCAAAGUGAUGGUCUGUUUGGCAGAUUAUAUAAAUGUUGGAAUGUCCUUAAGCAUUGUUCUAAUUUACCUAUACUAGCCUACUUACUUAUACGUACAGUACACCGAGUGUACAAAACGUAAACCGCUGCUUGGGUUUUUCACACUCGGCAGUUUCCCAAGUGUAUCAAGAAUGGUCCAUCACCCAAAGGACAUCCAGCCAAUUUGACACAACUGUGG